GUCCACGCCGUAAACGAUGGAUACUAGCUGUUGGGGGCAACUUCAGUGGCUAAGCGAAAGUGAUAAGUAUCCCACCUGGGGAGUACUGGCGCAAGCCUGAAACUCAAAGGAAUUGACGGGGGCCCGCACAAGCGGUGGAGCAUGUGGUUUAAUUCGAUGAUACGCGAGGAACCUUACCAAGGCUUAAAUGUAGACUGACCGGUUUGGAAACAGACCUUUCGCAAGACAGUUUACAAGGUGCUGCAUGGUUGUCGU
rnacentral:rRNA from 1 species